rnacentral:misc_RNA from 1 species
UCUGGUAAACGACAGAACUUUCUCCUGGGCCCUUGCCCCAGUUCCACUAAAGGGAACCCAUGACACACUGUCUGGAAUACAUAAUCUUUGAUAGCUUAAAUGCUGAGUAAAAGAGCAUUUAAUGUGCAAGCCAUAAAGAUUCCUUUCCAGGGCGAUGUUGUGUUCAUUCAGAAAGGAUUGCCCAAGCUGUUAAAUAUUCAUUUAUUAACUUGUUUUAAAUUGUGAAAUGUUCAAAUACAAUAUUAGUUACACAUAUUAGUUACACAGACAUGUACAUAUGCUUAUGUGUAAUUUACGUGUACAUGAAUUUAUGAUUAUUGCAUGGAAUAAAUGCAGCCAAAUAU